UUGUCAACUUGUGCUGCUUAAUCACAACUAUCUUAAAUGAUGUCUUUCUCCUCACUGUAUUAAAUGUUUCAAGGUAACAAAAUUAGUGCUUCCCCUGAAAGCUCAAAUAUCAGAAAAUCAAACUUAUAAGGAAAGCUUUACUGGAUGGGGUCUUUGGCACAAAUAAUUAAUUAAUCACCCAUUUGGAGAUGGCUGCCUAUAUGCUUCUCAGUCAAACUCUUUAUAUUCAUCAGGUGGAGGAUCCCCUCAGGCAUUUGUUAGCCACCGAAAGAAAAUAAACAGCACAUGAUCAUGUUUUAGCUAAUAAAAUAACAUAGGCUAAUUCAGAUUUCAAGCCAUGUGUAGGUACGAGCUAUAAUUACACUCGUUCCUCCCAAGAGCUACGACAGCCUCCAAGAACUUUUCAUGGAGCUCAAUGGUCCGUGUGAUCCGAGUCUACUUUUUUGGCUCUUCAUAUCCAUUGCUUUCAGGAUCGGAUAAAUUGUUUCUCUCUAGGAUAAGCACUUCCUUGGGCUUUUCAAUAGAUUAUGAAACCAUUCUAUUUUUAGUACUAUUAGGAGUUGGUCCUUGAGGCGCUGCCUUUUUAGGCAUGUGUUCUAGUGCUUUGUCAGAUAAUCUGCUGCACUCUCCCGUUACUUUGUAAGUGCACACUGCACAUCCAGUAGUAGUAGAAGCACCCUGCUGCACCCACUUACUUUUUAAGCACCUAGUAGCAGUAGCAGGCGCAUUAAGUUGUCUAUAUAUCAGGUUGUUUAGUAAAUGAAAAAAGUAGUUUAGUUCAGCCACAUUUCCAGAGCUGCUGCUCGUGGUGUGUGUGUGUGCUGUGCUCAUCUCCUUCUUCCUCUAGCCGAGUGAGUGUGUGGGUGUGGAGGUGAGCUUGCUGCAAUGCUGCUCACCUGUAUAGGGCGAUCGAGGGCCAACAAGUGGUAUCCGAGCUGAGGUUGCCAGUACGGUUGAUUCCUUGAGAUGCCAGAUGAUGCUGGUUCAGCGGUGGUGGACGAUGGCAUAGGGACGCCAACACCACCCCCAUCACGGCAGCAGCACAUCAUGGAGAGGAUCAUGUGGGAGGUUAGCAGGGCUAACUGGCUCGUCCUCGCCCACACAAACUACGGCUAGUGGGCAGUGACCACGAAGGACAAGCUCAGAGCUCGGAAGCUCUAGAAGGCCAUCGACCAGGGCAACAAGGACGAAGAAGACUGCUCGGCGCUGGAAGCAAUCAUGUCUGCUGUGCCUCCAGAGUACAGUGUGCCACUGGGGUCGAAGGACUCCGCCAAGGAAGCUUGGGACGCCCUCAAGGCCAUGCGCAUCGGGUCUGGUUGCACGAAGAAGAUGAAGGCGCAACAGCUGCGGCGGGAGUACGACACAUUGAUGUUCCACGACUGGGAGGCAGUGGAGGAUUUUCCCUCCGGCUGCAGUCACUUGUCAGUCAGCUGGCGUCAGAUGACAUCAUCAUCGACAAUGAGGAAGCAGCCUCCAAGUAUCUGCCCGCAUGCCAACCAAGUACACCCAGAUCGCACUCUUCAUCAACACGCUGAUCGACGUGUCCACCCUCACGAUUGAGGAUGUGAAUGGGCGCUUGCGGGCAGUGGACGACCCCGCAGUGGAGACUGCGACACCGGCCGGUGGCAAGCUGCUGUAGACCGAGGAGUGGGUGGCCCAGAUGUGGGAGAAGCAGUCCGGGGAAAGCUCCUGCAGCCACGGCAGCGACAGCAAGCGCUGCGCAAGCCCCUGAAGAAAAAGUAGGACAGUGAGCCCAUUGACAAGAAUGCUUGUCAGCGCUGUGGGAAGACUGGCCAUUGGGCAAAGGAGUGCAAGAACCGAAUGAGAAGAAGGCUUGCGCAGGUGGACGACAACAAGCCUACUCUCCUGAUGGAGACAUUCUGUGCGCUGCAUGACGUCGAGCUAGAAUUGGAGGCAGAGAAGGUGGUGGUGGCUACAGAGCAGAGGAAGGCACAGCAAGCCAUCCAUCUCAACGAGUCAUGCAGCCAAGUCCACCUAGGAUGAGUGGAUGACAACAUGGAGUAGAGGUGGUACUUGGACUCUGACGCCAGCAACCACAUGACCGGCUCCAGGGAUGCCUUCUCCAAGCUCGACGGCGGCGUGACAGGGUCGUGAAGUUCGGGGACGGCUUGAAGGUGGAGAUUCGAGGCCAUGGCACUGUCAUCUUCCCGUGCCAGAACAGCGAGCACCGCGCGCUGACGGAUGUGUACUACAUCCCGCAGCUACGUUUGAGUAUCGUCAGCAUCGGGCAGCUGGACGAGCGCAAGUGCAAGGUCCUGGUCAAGAGCGAGAUCCUAAGGAUUCAGGACCGGGAGUAGAGGCUACUCACCAAGGUGCAACGCUCCCGGAACCGACUCCAGCUGGUGUGCCUGGCAACAUGCCGUAUCGAGGAGCCGUGGCUGUGGCAUGCCCGGUUCGGCCACUCAGCUUCGAUGCACUUUGUCAGCUAGAGAAGAUGGUGUGCAGGCUGCCCCACAUCAAGCACGCUGGCGAGCUAUGUGACAAUUAGCUAGUGGUGAAGCAAAGGAGGCAUCCAUUUCCAAAGCGGACAAGUAUCGCACGGGGAACAUGCUAGAGCUCAUCCACAACAACCUCUGUGGGCCUAUCACGCCGGCCAAGCAAGGGCGGGCGACACUACUUCUUGCUACUCGUGGACGACUACUACCACUACAUGUGGCUGCAGCUCCUGACGAGCAAGGACGAGGCAGCAACAACGAUCAUGACGUUACAGGCGCGGUCUGAGGCAGAGUCCAGAAAGAAGCUGUGUGUGCUAAGGACAGAUUGCGGCGGCGAGUUAACGUCCAUGGACUGCGCUGCAUACUGCACGGAUCAGGAGGUGGUGCGCCAUCAUGCCGUGCCAUAUUCGCCGCAAUAGAACGGCGUGGAGUGGCAUAACCAAUCGGUGGCCUGCAUGGCUUGUAGCGCCAUGAAGACAAAGGUCAUGCCGACCGAGUUCUGGAGAGAGGUGGUGAACACAGCGGUGUUCAUCCUCAACCACGCGCCCACCAAGAGCCUGAAGGGCAUGACACCGUUCGAGGCUUGGUUCGGGAAGAAGCAUGAGGUCUCCUUCCUCACGACAUUCGGGUGCAUCGACCAUGUCAAGAAGGCGAAGCCGAACCUCACCAAGUUGGGGCAUAGGAGCACUACGCAACGCCUACCGGCUAUAUGAUUUGAGAGGAGGCAAGGUGGUGGUCUCGCCAGAUGUGUUCUACAAAAUGGCGGAGCCUGGGAUUAGAAGGAUCCAGGCAUGGGGAAGUUAGCAUCGUCGGCCGGACAUUCGUCAUUGAGCACAUGGUCAUCCAUAGAGGCGAAGAUGUUGGAGUAGAGGAGCCAGCUGUGGACGCACCUAGUCCAGCAGCUAUGGCGGCGCUGGCUGAGCUGCUAAGUCCGGCCAUGGCAAGUGCGUGCGAACAGACUCCACCAGCGACCUCGCACACGCAUCCACCACUGCACAGGGGAUUCCUCCAGCGACAUUGGUCGAGUUCACUUGUCCUCUGAGCGACAUUGACAAGUACGUGGACGCCUUCAACAACGGUGAGGAGGUGCACUUCCGCACCUUGGACAAUCUCGUCAACGACUUAGCUACACUAGGCUUGGCGAUCUGGCUACUCAGCGGUGGAGAGCUAUCCUCGUCAGCGCAGAAGAACCACCCAUGUUUGCGCAAGCCAAGCGAGAUGCCAAUUGGAGGUAGGCAAUGUUGGAGAUGAAGGCCACUGAGGACAAUGAGACAUGAGAGCUCAUUGACCCACCACCAGGCUGUCGUCCGAUUGGGCUCAAGUGGGUCUACAAGGUGAAGCAGGACAAGCACGACGCCUCGUCAAGCACAAGGCGCGCCUCAUUGUCGGCGGCUUCAUCCAAUGUGAGAGCAUCUACUUUGAGGAAGUCUUUGUGUCGGUGGCAUGCAUGGAGUCCAUCCACCUGCUACUGGCUCUAGAAGUGACCAAGGACUACCGUGUUUCACCACCUGGACAUGAAAUCGGCAUUCCUCAAUGGCGAGCUCGCGGAGACGGUCUUCGUCAAGCAAGCUCCGGGCUUCACCAUCCAAAAAGCAGAAUACAAGGUGCUACGACUAUGUAAGGCGCUCUACAUGCUGCAACAACCCCCGUGGGCGUGAACGCCAAGCUCGACGCCAUGCUGCACGCGCUUAGGUUCGCACAAUGCACAACGGAGCACAUACUCUACACGCAAUGACGGGAGAAGGAGCUCGUCGUCAGCAUGUAUGUGGAUGACCUCAUCAUCACCGGAGCACGCAUGAAGGACAUCGAUGGCUUCAAGCCCGAGAUGUUGGCUCAAUUCUGCAUGAAUGAUCUCGGCCAGCUCUCCUACCUCGGCAUCACGGUGAAACAUGGGAGUGACUUCAUCUCCAUAGGCUAGCACGCUUACGCAGAGAAGCAGGCCCGACCCUAGGGCCCAGCUUAUAUAGGGGCCCAAACAUACGUAUGCAAACAGGAAGAGAAAUCGCCGAGGGCAAUCUGUCUUCUACGUCUCGCUGCGGCCGCACGGUACUGCUCGCCCUCGCCAAUCUCGCCAUCACUUAUCGCUGUAACCCACUCGCGGGCCUCUUUCGAGUCAUGUACGGCUGUCCUCUCCCGUCCAUGCGAGAAGCCAGAAUCUGCCGAUCUUCAAUUCUCACUUGCUCAACACUUAGAUAUGUUCGUACGUGCAUCUUUCUAUUCUUCUUGUUUGAUUUAGGUGAUUGAAUAUAUUAGAUAAAUAUUAGUAACUCAUGUAGAUAUAAUUUUCGGUCUUCAAAUUGUGCAAUGUUACCUAAGAAUUGGCUCUCAACAAAGAAAGCGGAGGGAUGUAGUCUAUUCAAUCACAAAAAAGCAUUUAGAUAUGUUUUUUCCAACUCCAAGUAGUGUUAUGUCAAUGAUAAUGUUGUUCAAGAGCAGGAGUAGCAGCAAGUUGGUGAAAAUUUAAACGAAGUUGAUGUUGCCAAUGAUGAUGCAAAUCUUGAAAAUUAUUGAGCAAGAAGCUUCAAUUCAUCGAUCAUUAUUAAACAUGUCAAAGCGAGAUCAUGUUGUUUGAUUUGUUUCAUGCUUUGUAAGUGAAUUUUGAAACAUAUACAUCUAUAUACUAGAAAACACAUUAUCUUAAGGGCCUAUGAUGAUAAGGUCGUCGUAGGGUGCUUGAAAACAUAGGGCCGACCCUGCAGAGAAGAUGCUGGAGCAUGGUGGCAUGGUGGACUGCAAGUUGUGCAAGACUCCAAUGGAGGAAAGGUUGAAGUUGUCAAAGAACAACACCACGGCGAAGGUAGACACGAUGUGUUACAAGAGCAUCGUCGACGAGUUGCGGUAUCUGACUCAUACUUGGCUGGACAUCACGUUUGCGAUCGGGUAUGCCAGUCGGUUCAUGGAGGAUCCCCGUGAGCAGGGGCGGAACCCAGUGGAGGCGAAACUGGGCUCCCGCCCCCCCUUGCUUGUGUAGCUUCACUGAGCUUGACUGUUGCAUCCCAUGGCUGCUACUAUUUAAGGAUUGGAGAAGACGAACGUGCAGUAGAAAGAGAGAACAUUAAAGGGUUAUUGCUCGGUAGUCUUUCCCUUGGUGGCCCAACUAUAAGGAAUUAUGGCCUAUUAACACUUGCAACUAAGAUAAAUCUGCAUGGUCCACUGUAUAACAACAAAAAAUAGCCCCCUCUUAUACUGCUACGCUCCGCCACUGCCCGCGAGGAUCAUUGGAUUGCACUGAAGCAGCUGCUUCGCUACAUCAAGGGGACGGGUGGAUUAGGGGAUCGUCUUCCCCAAGACUGGCGGUGAAGGUGGAUUGUGGCUCACAAUCUUCAGUGAUGCACUCCCCCAAAUCGACGACGGAGGUGGCCUGUGGCUCACACGGGCGACAUUGAUGAACGAAGGAGCACCUCUGGCAUGCUCGUCUUCCUUGGUUCGGCCUUGAUUUCGUGGCAAUCACUAAAGCAGAAGGUGGUGCCAUUGUCUACGUGCGAAGUAGAGUAUGUCGCGGCGACCAUAGCGGCGUGCCAGGCUAUCUAGCUGCGUCGGCUGCUAUAUGUCGCGGCGACCAUAGCGGCGUGCCAAGCUAUCUAGCUGUGUCGGCUGCUAAGCGAGCUGACCGGUGAGGAAGUUUGUCCGCUAACUCUGAUCGUGGACAAUCAGCCUGCGAUCGACCUCGCCAAGAACCCUGUCCUCUACGACCCGAGCAAGCACAUCAACGUCAAGUUUCAUUUCCUUCGGGAUUGCGUAAAUGGAGAACAGAUCAUCCUCGAGUUCGUGUAGACCGGCCGACAGCUCGCCGACAUCCUCACCAAGCCACUCGGGCGCCUUCGGUUCUUAGAACUGAAGAACAACGUUGGCAUCGGUUCUCACUCCUUACUUUUAAAGCGCACAGUGCACAUCCAGUAGCAGUAGCUGCACCCUGCUGCACACACUUAAUUUUUUAAGUGCACAAUGCACAUCCAGCAGUAGUAGCUGCACCCUGCUGCACACACUUUUUAAGCGCACAUGUGUGUGUUGUGUGUGUGUGCGUGCGUGCGUGUGUGCGUGUGUGCAUGCGUGUGUGUGUGUGGGUGGGUGGGUGGGUGGGUGUGCGUGUGUGUGUCUGUGUGUGUGCGCGCGCACGUGCGUGUGUGUGUGUGUGGGUGGGUGGGUGUGGAGGUGUGCUUGCUACUCACCUGUACAGGGAGAUCAAUGGCCAACAUGCUUGUGUGUGCGUGCGUGCGUGGGUGUGUGUGUGUGUGUGGAGGUGUGCUUGCUACUCACCUGUACAGGGAGAUCAACGGCCAAUCAAUCUAGAACAUACUUCAUUUUUUUCCUAUCAUAUGGUAGGUGUAGAUUGAUUUAUAGGGCAGAGGAUCUGAGUUCCUCUACUUCUUUGUCAAGAAAAGUAACCCUUUUAAAUAUUAUGACAAAAAUAGAUCUAGGUCAACAUGUUUCUCCCCCAUCACCUUAAGGAAUCAUACAGACUGCAAAUAUGAUACCACAGCUAACAAAUAUAGGAAUUUUUUUUUCAGGGAAAAUAAUAAUAAUUUGAUAUAUAGGUUGCUCAGUUUUAUAAAAGAUUUCAGAUUUCUUGAAUUGAAUACUGUGCCUAUUGACUUCCUUUUUCUUCUAGAACACACUUCAUUUUUUUAGAACAAAAAUGCGGAAAAGGAAAAGGGGUUCCAAAAUGGAAUGGUUCAAGAUCCACAUGCACCUUUGAAGUUAAACUUUGCAAGCAUCUUAGAGAUGGUCAACAAGGACGCUGGGUCACCAUCCAGAACUAGCGCUGAAAGCCUUUCCAUCAUUGUGUCACCAUGGGAUUUUGAAGGCAAACUUAGAGUAUCUGUUAAGGAUGUACAGUCUGCUUUUGUAGUUGGUCAGAGGUAGCCACUCUUUAUAUUAUAUAUAAAAAAUUUAGAAAAAGACAAGGCUUCAAAAUGUGUGUAACAUGCAUGAUUAUGGGUGUGUGGCUCACACACCGGGAUCAGCAGGCCAAGCGAGGCCCAGCGGAGGGCCAUGGCCAGCCUCAGCCAGUUCCCGCGCGCCGCAAGGAGGGCACGUGCGCCCAGAGGGGUGACCUCAGCACCACCUCGAACUCCUUCACCCAGAAGGUUCGGAAUAAUUGGUAGAAUUAAGAAUUAACAGGAAAUUAAAUUAGGAUCUUGGAAUCAGGAAGAUUUGUUAAGAUAGGAGAUUGGUUUGUUUAGGAAUGGGGAGUUCAAUCGAUAAGGACUUCUCCCAUAGCUUGCUUGGAACAUAAAUCCUAUAGGGACUAUAAAUAUAGGGGAGAUGCAAUCAUUCUAAUCUUAAGCAAGAAUAGAGCUAUUACUCCUUCCCCUACCUACCUCCCUCCUCGCCGUCGCCCUCCCCUGUCCUGCGCCGCCGCCCACCUCUGCCCUAGCCCCCACCCCCUAUCCCGGGUUGGACUGUGACAGUGUGAAAUCACUUUAUUUACCUCCAGCUCUCCUCGCCGUCACUCUCCCCCGUCCUGCGCCGCCACCCACCUCUGCCCUAGCCCCCACCCCCUACCCCGGGUUGGACUGUGACAGUGUGAAAUCACUUUAUUUCAGUAGUAACUAGUAAGUUGACCUGUAUUUGGACUGGUGCACAAUAAAAGUUAGUAGAUAGAUACAAGAGAUAUGGUGACUUAAGCAAUACAUGAGAACCCAAAGUCAAGACUAUAUUUUUCUAUGCAAAAGCUUGUAACCAUGUUGCUUUCAGGGCAUCACACUCUUUCAGGUAUGAGAAAUUAGUUUUAAAGAAAAACCUAGUAUGAAACUGGGUAAAACAUACUAACAGAUACAUGCAAACCUCUAGUGUUCUAUUUCUUCCUCUUUGUUUCAGAUUUGUAUCAUCAAAUUUGACAUGCUAACUAUGGACGCAAUUUCAGAAACCACUGAGUAUCAAACUGUGAUGGCAGUAAUUGUCACAGCACCAGGUUUUGGAAUGUCCAUGGGUAUCUGUUGACUAAAGAACAUGCAGAAAAUGAGGGCAAAGGACAACAAAAUCACAUUAAAUGAAGCCCUGGCGCAUUUCGGUGUUAUUAGUUAGUAUCAUAACAUAAUAAUAUAGCAGUCCCCUGGGACAUGAAUAUAUGCCAUACCAUAUCUGUGGGCAAUCCAAAAUGACACACCAUAUUAAUUGCAAUCUAAUUCCCCCUCUCCCAACCCCCCCCCCCCCCCCCCCCCCAACCCCCACACACACACCCAAACUGGCCUGUUUACAUCUCUACGAAAACCAUGAGAAGAAGUAAAAUAGAGAGAAAUAUUUUCUAGUCCUAUAAAGAUAUACACCCGAAACACCACAACAAAUCUGCAAUCCCAGUACCAUUUGGAUAAGAGUUUCGCGAUAACAUAUAUGCUUAAACUAACUCUGGAAAGAUUAUGUUCUAUUUCAUGCAUUUGAGCAAAUCUUGCGACAGCUAAUAUUGUGGAGCCAGUACCCGUAUGGUGUAAUGCAAUCUCCAAGCAUGUUCUCUAAUUGUAUAUACCGUAUCAUUACUAGAAACAACUUGCAUUCAUCAAUCCUAGCAAAUACUAGAGAGCAUGCAUUCCAUUGAUUGUUGCAUAAGAAGUUUAUAAGGGUGUACCUCUUCAUUCUAGCUAGUUCGAAGCAUCAUCAUGACCAAAGCAAAUAUUUGCACUGCCUAGCACAUAUGAUUCCCAACCAAAGGCCCUGGAACAUGAAGGGAACACAUAUCAAUAUAUAUCUUGUCAUAAUUACAUAAAAGUAAAACAUAGUCCAACCUACCACACCACCAAUCUUCAGAGUAAAUGAAAAAGUAACAGCUGAAGGGAGACCAAUAGCAUAAUAAGCAUAAGCAAACAGGUUGAUAACCGAGCAUACUUUCUGCCAGCCACAUACUCAAGCCGCGCCUUAAAAGCAACAUGCAGAUAAUGAACACAUGUCAGCCAGGAAUAGUUAGACAGAGGAUUACUGAUAUUAUGAUUAUGGAGUGUCAUGUUAAAAUCACUGAAAGCCUGAUUCAGGAAUUACCACUCUUCUACACAACACUUGUGCCGCUCUUCUUUGGUAAAGAAAUAAAUGAUACCUAGAAAAAGCAAAACAACAAUAAUCCUAAUUUGGACUGUAUGGCUAUGGCUUAGUGGUGAAACCCUCUUACUUGUAGCAUGCAAUACCAAACAAAUUGGAUCUUUUCUUUUUCUCUUAUGACUUAUGAGAGCACUGAGCAUGUUGGAUAUGUCAUAUGUGAUCAUUUUUUACAUUAACCUGCUCAGGCGGCAUAACAAAGACAAUUAAUCUACAUGAAUUGAUGGCAUCAUAAUGAGGCAAGCAAACCAACAGGAAGACCAACUGGCCAAGUGAUCAAACAAAAUAAAAGCUAAGCAACUUUACAAUAAUUGAUGGCAUCAUAAGCAAACCAACACCAAGACCAACUGAGCAGAAGUACAAUAUGAUACAGAUGCUGCAUACUAGACAAUGCAAUUAUCCCAAACUUGAUAGCAUGCAUUGUAUUCCAUCCAUGAAGUCAUAAGUAGCAAGAAUUGGCAUCAUAAUCGAUACAUGCUUCACUACCUCUUCUUUAUUGAUGUACAUAUAACCCCCAACAUCUUGCACUAAUACUGUGAUGAUAGCUAAAAAAAGGCCCUCAGCUAGGCAAAUGAUUCCUGAAACAUAAACUGAUAGGCGUGCUGCAUCUGGAAACACUCUAAUACUGCAAAUAAACAAAAAACCAUGGGCCAAAACUAGUUAACCACAAGUUUCUUUUACCACAGAACAAAAAGGAGUGGGCACUACGAAUUUAUGCUCCUCUUACCUUAUCGCGCUGCUGAGGCCACAUGGAAUUGCAUGGACCAUCCACAUUGUGUUUAGGCUGCAACUGCAGAGUGAUCAGCCAUGUUACAGAACAACAUCAGAUCUAAAAGAUUGAUCAGUUCAAUAUAAUUUCUGAUUACUGAAAGGGAGGAGGUAUUUCAAGUUUCAUUUGCUUACCUGACUGACAAAAUAGAAGUUUCCAGUUUUGGAUCUGGAAGAAAUCCCGCUAGGAGAACCACCAUCUCAAAUGCCCAAUACUCCAAGCUGAGCUAUCUUGCAAGUCAAAUUACCAGUUCCAUGCAGAAAGUAGGUAAAGGUACACAUUACUUCUUUGCCAAACUAUAAUGUUAACAAUCAAGACUUAUUGAAAUACAAGUUUUUCACAUGGUGCCCCAUAUCAGGCUUACCAGAUCAUAAAGGUUGUUGGAAUUGCUAGCUUUAGAUAUACUUUGGCAUCCUUUAACUUUAGUGCUUCCCUUGACCAUCCAUGCCAACUUCUUCUGCCAGCUUCAGAGACUUUCACAUACACCACUAGCAAUGCCACAUUGAACCAGUAGGAUAUUGAGGUUGCCAAAGCUGCGCCUUUGUGGCCAAUGCCAAAAAUUUGAACCAGCAACCAGCAUAGCAUAACGUGAAGUAGCAAAGUAAGUCCAGAGCAAGCUACCAAUAUCUGGACAAUAUUUUGGGUCAGCAGGAAUCUGGUAAGGCACUGAAGCAAACCAUAUGCGAAAAGACCAGGAAUCAACCACUGAGCAUACAGUCUAGCUUGGAAUGAUAUCUCAGGAUUUUGACUGAGAGCGAUAAGGAUUUCACCAGCGAAGCCCAAAACAAAGGCUAGAUGAAUACCUGUAAGCAUAAAACAAUUAUAGCCCUUUGCGUGUGUGUCCCCAGCAUGUCAUAUUGUCUUGCUCCGUAUGAUUGUCCACAAAAGGUAUCCAAUGUGCUUCCCAUACCCAGCUUGACAUGGAAAAGAUGAGCACGAAUUCCAAUUAUUAAUUAAUUUACUGGUAGCACAGUAGCAUCACGCAGUAUAACACAGGCCACUGCGCAAUAAGUCAAACUCAUACGCCCCUUACUUGUUACUUCUAGUAAGUAUAAUUAUGGAGCAUGUGGAAAACUAAUUAGAGUAAUGCGAAAGUAUUUACAGAAUCCGUAAUAAUUUUGGUUACAAAUUCGUUAAAUAACUAGGUUCUACAGUGUACAUGUUCCGAUUCACAUUUCCCCAUGAUCUUCAGACUUGAUGCAUAUACCGAGUUGCACAAAUGGUUUAGUGAAGCGAGGUUACUACCGCACUUACCAGGACGCUGAAGCCAGUGACGUUGGCGAAGGAGGGCGCGAUGGAGGCCCCGGAGAGGGAGAGCUCCCUUAGCUUAGGUGUCCGGCGAACAUGACGCCAUGACGGAGACCACCUGCAGGCUGUACUGCAGCAGGCUGCACGCCACCAGCGGCGCCGCGAGCCCCACCUGCCGCCGCACCUCCGCACCCACCGCGGCGCGUGGAGCCGAGCGGGAUAGGAGGAUAGGCGGCGACGACGCCGCGCUCGCCUCGGCCGCCCCGCCGGCACUAGCGCCGCCAUUUCGCGAUGGCCUCGCGGACUCGGAAGUCGGAAGGUUUGAGAUGACGAGCAUUUUUUUAGAGAGGGUUCAGUUGACUAGCUAGGAGGCAGUUUUGUCUUGGGCUUCGGCCUGAAAUGUUUUUUUUUUGUGACUUUCGGCCUGAAAUGUUGGUGAUGGGCUAAAAUAAUAAAAUCUGCCAAACUCUGUCUACAAAUUUAUAAUUAAAAAAAUGUUUAUCUUCGUUGUUUAAAAAAACACUUUUGUUAUAUCUUGUGUUAUUAUUUUAAGAAUUACUUCUUUGCAAUCGCAUGAAAUUUUGUUUUUCCAUCAGUCACUCGCCUCCCAACACUCUUCCGCUCACAUGCCAUCCGUGCGUUGGAGACAAGAAGAAGAAGACUUGGGGUUCCAUGGGUCAAUCAUGUUAGGGUUCCGGCGGCGGCGACGACGAUGCCCUCUCUCUCUCUCUCUGUCUCUCUCACACACAUACACACACUCUUCCUCUCUUUCUCCUCAACUCCAAUGGGCUAAGAAGAGAAAGACUUGGGGAAGGCAGGCCGGUCAAGUGGUGGGGACAGCGGGAGGGCGACUUAUAGUCCUAGCGGUGGCGAAGACGGCAUGAACAAGUUGAAGCAAUGGCAUCCAUUGUCAAAGCUCGUUGUGAAAGGAGGACGAAGGUGAAGAUGGUCACCGCCUUAGGCAUACUAUCUUCCUCUGCCCUCCUAGUCCUUACCCUCACCGCCGCAGUGGAGAUGUGGACAAGAAGGGACAGAGGAAGAAAAGGGACGACAGGAGGUUGAAGAUGACUCCUGCAUUUUAAUGAUCUCUUCAUAUCACUAAGUGGAGAUCUCUCAUUCCAUUUUAAUUAUGCCAUGCGUAUCUGCAUAUGCGCCAUACAACUAAUUUUGAUUAAUUAAUGAUCUCUUCAUAUCACAAAGAUUUUCAAGGAAAAAAAUCAUAUCCGGUGAGGUUCUCCACAUUAAUUUGAGGCUAGGGUGUAAAAUAGUAAGUUAGAAAUGGUAUCAUAAAAAAAGUUACAAAGCGAUGUGAAAAUCUAUCACGGUUUUGCGUUUUUUUUUAAAAAAAAGAAAGAAAAUCGAUAAGGAUGAUCACAUACGGAGAAGGCAUCCAGUGAUGUUCCAUCGAAUCAUGGAGCUCACGAUAUAGACACACCAGUUUUUUUUCCAACCUGGGCAGGUUCAACGUAACACAGUAAUAAUAUGAAACCAAACAGUAGAGUAUAUAACGAUUAAUAAGUUCUACACCGUUUUAUGUGCCCUCGAGCACAAUUGACUUAUUUCUGUCAACGGGUUCUUAUUUCUAACAUCCAUAUUAUCAGUUGCUAUCACUUGUUGAGCCUGAUUCAGAAGAGCAUGCCAUAGUCAACCGCUGGCAUUGAAGGACUCCAAGCCCAUAACACAUCGUCUUGGGCAAUCGGGCUCACAGGGUCAUCCAUCAGAGCGUCGCCAAUAGUGGCUUCUUGAGCUACUGGUUCAUCUAAUAAGUUGACCAUCCUCGCCGACCUAAGAUCAUCAUCCCAUGCAUUAUUACCUGCUUGCAGGACCUCCAGGGCAAGGCUUUCCUGGUCUUGUGAUCCUCCAACGGCAGCUUCUUCAGUCAUUGGUUCAUCUAAUAAGUUGAUAAGCCCCACAGAUAUCAGAGCAUCAUCCCAUGGAAUGUCAUCUACUUGCUGGAGAUCCUCCAUGCCAAGGCUUUGCUGCUCUUGCGAUCCUUGAGUUACUGGUUCAUCUAUGUUAAUCAGAUCAACCGAUCUCAGAGCAUCAUUACAUGCAUUGUCAUGGAGAACCUCUAGGCCAAGGCUUUCCAGCUGGCUCAUCCGAAAUGAAUAUGCUUCCUCCCGGCCAUCAGAAGGGCCUGUCAGGUCCAGAUCAUUGCUCUCUAGGUGCGCCCAAGCAACAGAAAAAUCCAU
rnacentral:lncRNA from 1 species